rfam:Anaerocolumna jejuensis DSM 15929 genome assembly, contig: EJ31DRAFT_scaffold00017.17
UGAUAGCGUAGAAGCGUGAGGUUGCUACAUAUAAUGUAGGUUUUCCGUGGAGCGAAUGUCAAGUUAUGAAACUGGCGACAA